rnacentral:rRNA from 1 species
GACGAACGCUGGCGGCGUGCUUAACACAUGCAAGUCGAACGAUGAAGCCGGAGCUUGCUCUGGUGAAUUAGUGGCGAACGGGUGAGUAACACGUGAGUAACCUGCCCUUGACUCUGGGAUAACUGCGGGAAACUGUAGCUAAUACCGGAUACGAUCCUCGGAGGCAUCUCCUGGGGGUGGAAAGAAUUUCGGUCAAGGAUGGACUCGCGGCCUAUCAGCUAGUUGGUGAGGUAAAGGCUCACCAAGGCGACCACGGGUAGCCGGCCUGAGAGGGUGACUGGCCACACUGGGACUGAGACACGGCCCAGACUCCUACGGGAGGCAGCAGUGGGGAAUAUUGCACAAUGGGCGCAAGCCUGAUGCAGCAACGCCGCGUGAGGGAUGACGGCCUUCGGGUUGUAACCUCUUUUAGCAGGGAAGAAGCGAAAGUGACGGUACCUGCAGAAAAAGCACCGGCUAACUACGUGCCAGCCGCCGCAGUAA